UAAACACAUGCAAGUCGUGCGAGAAAGUAUCCUCGGAUAUGAGUAGAGCGGCGGACGGGUGAGUAACGCGUAGGAAUCUACCUAGUAGAAGGGGAUAGCCCGGGGAAACCCGGAUUAAUACCGUAUACCUCCUUCGGGAGAAAGAAGGCCUCUCUUUGAAGCUUUCGCUACUAGAUGAGCCUGCGUAAGAUUAGCUAGUUGGUGAGAUAAUGGCUCACCAAGGCUACGAUCUUUAGCUGGUCUGAGAGGACGAUCAGCCACAUUGGGACUGAGACACGGCCCAGACUCCUACGGGAGGCAGCAGUGGGGAAUAUUGGACAAUGGGCGCAAGCCUGAUCCAGCCAUACCGCGUGUGUGAAGAAGGCCUUCGGGUUGUAAAGCACUUUAAGCAGGGAGAAAAAGUUAUAGGUUAAUACCCUAUGACCUUGAUGUUACCUGCAGAAUAAGCACCGGCUAAUUCCGUGCCAGCAGCCGCGGUAAUACGGAAGGUGCAAGCGUUAAUCGGAAUUACUGGGCGUAAAGCGCGCGUAGGUGGUUUGUUAAGUUGGAUGUGAAAGCCCUGGGCUCAACCUAGGAACUGCAUCCAAAACUAACUCACUAGAGUACGAUAGAGGGAGGUAGAAUUCAUAGUGUAGCGGUGGAAUGCGUAGAUAUUAUGAAGAAUACCAGUGGCGAAGGCGGCCUCCUGGAUCUGUACUGACACUGAGGUGCGAAAGCGUGGGUAGCGAACAGGAUUAGAU
rnacentral:rRNA from 1 species